AGACGCGACCGGAGGCCAAGGUCAAGUUGAAAGCUGCAGUCCAUUCAGGAAG
ensembl:misc_RNA